UAGACAUGGGUUACCACACCAGAGCGGGAAGGAAGAAAAACAAAAGUCAACAAUAAGGUCACUGACAUGAUACUGCCAACUGAGAAAAUCUACGCAAAUAGACCAAAUGUAAUCUUGACUGUCGUUUGUCAUGAGGAGACAAAUCAAUAAUGUUCGAUUCAGUUGAAACACUUUGCCCUUUAGGAGGGACCCGACGAGGGGACUGCAUCGAUCCGUGUGGACAUUCAGUCUCUGGUGAUAGCGACCGUAAAGGGCGGACCGGUGGAGCUUAAGGCCGGAAUUGAAA